rnacentral:rRNA from 1 species
GAUGAACGCUAGCUACAGGCUUAACACAUGCAAGUCGAGGGACCGGCGCACGGGUAAGUCACACGUAUCCAACCUGCCCUUUACUCGUGGAUAGCCUUUCGAAAGAAAGAUUAAUACCCGAUACAAAGGAUGGGGAUGCGUUCCAUUAGGUUGUUGGUGAGGUAAAGGCCCACCAAGCCUUCGAUGGUGAGGGGUUCUGAGAGGAAGGUCCCCCACAUUGGAACGAAGCUACGGUCCCAACUCCUACGGGAGGCAGCAGUGAGGAAUACUGGUGAAUGGGGGUUAGCCUGAACCAGCCAAGUAGCGUGAAGGAGGAAGGCGUAUGGUUCGUAAACUUCUUUUAUAUAAGAAUAUGUAUUAUAUGAAUAAGGAUCGGCUAACUACGUGCCAGCAGCCGCGGUAAUUC